GGGGUCGUGGCUCAGCGAUAGAGCGCUCGCCUCACACAUGCAAGAGCCUGGGUUAGAUCUCCGGCACCACA
rnacentral:tRNA from 1 species